GACGAACGCUGGCGGCGUGCUUAACACAUGCAAGUCGAACGGAAAGGCCCUGCUUUUGUGGGGUGCUCGAGUGGCGAACGGGUGAGUAACACGUGAGUAACCUGCCCUUGACUUUGGGAUAACUUCAGGAAACUGGGGCUAAUACCGGAUAGGAGCUCCUGCUGCAUGGUGGGGGUUGGUAAGUUUCGGCGGUUGGGGAUGGACUCGCGGCUUAUCAGCUUGUUGGUGGGGUAGUGGCUUACCAAGGCUUUGACGGGUAGCCGGCCUGAGAGGGUGACCGGCCACAUUGGGACUGAGAUACGGCCCAGACUCCUACGGGAGGCAGCAGUGGGGAAUAUUGCACAAUGGGCGGAAGCCUGAUGCAGCAACGCCGCGUGCGGGAUGACGGCCUUCGGGUUGUAAACCGCUUUCGCCUGUGACGAAGCGUGAGUGACGGUAAUGGGUAAAGAAGCACCGGCUAACUACGUG
rnacentral:rRNA from 1 species